AUUGAACGCUGGCGGCAGGCCUAACACAUGCCAGUCGAGCGGAUGAAGGGAGCUUGCUCCUGGAUUCAGCGGCGGACGGGUGAGUAAUGCCUAGGAAUCUGCCUGGUAGUGGGGGAUAACGUCCGGAAACGGGCGCUAAUACCGCAUACGUCCUGAGGGAGAAAGUGGGGGAUCUUCGGACCUCACGCUAUCAGAUGAGCCUAGGUCGGAUUAGCUAGUUGGUGGGGUAAAGGCCUACCAAGGCGACGAUCCGUAACUGGUCUGAGAGGAUGAUCAGUCACACUGGAACUGAGACACGGUCCAGACUCCUACGGGAGGCAGCAGUGGGGAAUAUUGGACAAUGGGCGAAAGCCUGAUCCAGCCAUGCCGCGUGUGUGAAGAAGGUCUUCGGAUUGUAAGGCACUUUAAGUUGGGAGGAAGGGCAGUAAGUUAAUACCUUGCUGUUUUGACGUUACCAACAGAAUAAGCACCGGCUAACUUCGU
rnacentral:rRNA from 1 species